AGAGCUCAGGCUGCUCUUGAAAUUCCAGGAGAUGAAUGUUCCCCGUACAGAAUGAGCAGCAACAAAGACUUGCAAACAUAUGAAGUGUUGUGUUCAAGCCCAUAUGAGGACCCAAAUGCAGCCUAUUGUACGUUGGAUAAUACUGCAACAUCUGGCAAGGGGCCAGGAGAUGAGGUCUAUGAUAUAGCCUAUGAAGUGGUGCCACAGUAGCUGUUCCUAGGAGCUGGAGAAUGGACGUCGGUUUGAAAACGACUCUGAACUUGUGGCUGAUUUUAGGGGAAAAAACCCAGCAUAGUAGCCUUGACUACCCAAUUUUGACUAUUCAAUAAGCUAUCUUACAAAAUAUUAUGGGGCAGAUCCUCUGCUGAUAUAAAUUCUCAUAGCUCCAUUAUGAAGCUAUGACAGUUUGCACCAGGGGAAUAUAGGAAUUGUCACACUCAGACCAUUGGUUCAUUUAGUUCAGAAUCCUGUCUCCAGCAGUGGCCUUCACCAGAUGUGUCAGAAGUAGAUGCAAAAAUCUCCAUAAUGGACAAUUAUGGCACAACCUGCUCUCAGGGGAAGUUUCUUUUCAACACCUAUCAGCUGGAGAUUGGCUAUACCUGAAGCAAGAGGGUGUUAUAGCCGUCAUACAUCUUAUCCUAUCUAAUGUAACUUUAUCCUUAGUGUAUGAAAACCUAUAUAAAUGAAUGAUUGCUUUAGGAACAAAGAUCUUUAUUUUCCUCCAGUUUUACACUGGUGUAAUUCUGUUGGCUCCGUUGGAGAUACUCCUGCUUUACACUGGCGUAAGUGAGAGGAGGAUCAGAAACUUAGACACUCAGGUGUGAUUACUAGAGCAGGCAGAAUCAAUUAAGGACACUAUUAGCCCCUACCAUAAGUUUUUUUUCUUUAAAACAGGUACAUUGGAUAUAAUGUUCUGAAGGGAGACUGGGGCCCUCUAUGUAUCCCCAGAAAAGGUACACCACAAACCAUGUUCCAGGAAUCAGGGCCUGCAGCAGAGCCACUCUCCUAGGAACCUAACAAAAACAGCUGACCUGUAGUUGGCUGCCUGAUUGACUAGAUCACCUGAUUGGUUUGAAGUGUCAGCAGCCCAGCACUUAAGCCCAGCAGCAGUUCAGUGUCUCUUCAAAUCAUGUACUCAUGUCUGAGCUAGCUCCUGUGUGUGCUUGUUCCAGCCCUGCCCCACUUCAGGGAACCUGUUUCUGACCCUCGGAUCUGAUUCCUAAUUUCAGUUCUGACACCUAGCCUCUGACUGUGGCUCUGACCCUGGGCUCUGGUGCCUGUGCCAACCACUAGGCCUGACUGCCCAUGUCCUGGCCACUGACAUCAUGGCAGUGCCAGUGUCCUCACAUAAGCCUUUUUAGCCAUCACAAAGGUGAGAGGAACCUAAGCUAGGAUGAGAGGAUAGGUGUAUCUCUGUUCAUAUUUAAAUCUUCAGUCCACUGGAAUUUCCAUAUUCUCCAUUUACUUUCCCCAGCCUGCCUCAAAAGCUUGACACUGUGUGAAGUGAUCCUCUUUCAAGGGUCUGUUGGCUUCAUUCUGGAUGCUCAGAUGGGUUCACUCCAAGGAGUCUUUGCAGGGGUGCUGGAACAAUUUGUUUUGUGUUGGUGCUGAGAGCCAUUGAACCAAACUGUAAACCCUGUAUAUAAUGGAAACUACUUCAAACCAGGGGGUGUGGCAGCAGUCCCUGCACCCCUAGUUCUAGUACUUAUGUGUCUUUGUAGUGUUCUCAUCCCUUGCUGGUCCGGGUAGGAUGACCAGAUAGCAAGUGUGAAAAAAUUGGACACUUUAUUUUUGGGGUGGGGGGAGAAAGAAAAAUCCCCUAAUAUUGGGAUGGCUGGUCACCCUAGGUACAGGGAACUUAAGACUCCCUUUGAAUGUAAUGGGAACUGGAUCAGACUCUAAAUGAAGACAGAUUGUAUUGCUUUGAUAUCACAGCCUUGCAAUAAAGCUUUCUGGUGAUAUCAUAGCCAUUAAGAAUAAUACAAUAGACUCAAUACAUUAAGUAGAUUAGAACAUGAUAUGCAUUUUUAUGCCUCUGAUUUUAAUUUCCAUAUUGUACCAUGUUAUUUUGUUUUUGUUUAUUUUAGCCUUUGUAUAUGCGAUACCAGUGAAUUGCAAGAGGGCUUAUAAAAGCCACGGAAUGGUGGUAGUAUGUAGUAAUACAGAUAAAGCUUUGAAAAAAUUGCAAAUAAACUAGC